AGGGACCACUCUGCUUGAAGCUGUUUUUCUGGCGGAGGCCAAUACUAUAGUGCUGUGUUCCUGCUGAGGCCAUGAGGGGCCCACAUCAUGGCCACACGGUCUCAUGGCCUUGCUGAGGUAAGGUGCCACACACCUCCGGUAGUAGCAGCUGCAUCCUUGAAGUCUGUCAGUCUGAAGUGGAGAGAAAUGAUAGGAAAUGUUACAGUGCCAGGAGAACGGACACCAUGCUACAGUGGUCCUCAGCCACGAAUGAAUACCACCAACAAACACUGCAGAAGCCAUGGGAUAUCGCCCUCUUUACCUGCAAAGGCUGACCUACAUGGACUCUUUCUCAAGGGGAGUACAAAAAAUCACAAUGCAGCACUGCCAAUAUUCAAAAUGAUAAUGAGCUAAAAACAGCAUAAAUGCUAAAACUGGAUUUUGAGGCCAGUCACCUCAAAAUGAGGUUACAGAAAAUGGACCACCACACAAAUCCAAACUAUGGAAAUACCGUGCUUGGAACAAUUACAGCGUGUGUUUGUGGUAGAGAAGCAUAGAGACAAAGGGAAAAGUCAAAUCCUGCCAUUCACUUUACGAGACUACAAGCACGCAUGCAUGUGUAUUAAGUACACUCAAAAUAAUUCAUAAUCCCGUCACUUAAUCCUCUUUCGGGAAGCCACAUUUUCCCCACCAAUGCAACACAACAGACAUACCAAAGUGGUAGGAGAAUGCCUAGGGAAAUGAAAACUCAGGCUGGUCCCCCUGAAAAACAGCCCCACUAUUGAUUCCCACGUGCAUCAUGCUAGCUCAGCUCUUCAUUCCCUUACAAGUGCUGUUCCUGGAGCCCUUUCUUCUUCUUCACCCAACUUAAAAAAUCAGCUGCAACAUGACCUAGGCAGUCUUCCCUGACUCCUGAGUUUGAACAGGAUGCCUCACCUCUGCGCAUGCCACCAUCACUGCUCACAGAACAUUAGCUUCAACAAUGAACUAACUCAUCACACUAGGAGCAAGGAGCACAUUCUCCUCCAGCUGAUGUCCCCAACACAGUGACUGAUACACAGGAAGUGCUCAAUAUUCUGUUGAGUAAACAAACUGGAAAAGCACAGUAAAUGAAGGGGAAACAAACUUGAAU
rnacentral:lncRNA from 10 species